GCGUAUAGCUCAGUCGGUAGAGCGGCGGUCUCCAAAACCGUAGGUCGGGGGUUCAAGUCCUCCUGCGC
rnacentral:tRNA from 1 species